GAUUCAUACACAUCCAUCUUUGCUGAAAAAACUAACAGCUCAAUGAGCACAUACUUCUUGUGCUCUUUUAACAUAUGAAAGAUUCUAUUAAAUAUUUUGCCAUCUACCUGGCAUGAAGCCAUUAGGUAAACCAUUCAAAUCAACCAACACUUAUCAAAAACUAACCUGCCACAGCAAAUAUCUACCAUAGAUUCUCAGUGAAUUUGAGGGAAUUGACAAGUAAUAUCACAAACAGCUCUACAGCCCAACCAGCUGUACAUGCUGGGUGGGAUUAAGGAAAUGGGGCUAGCCAGUGCCAUUGUUUGAGAUCAGAAACAACCUCAUUGAGUAUUUUGAGGAAUGCUCCAAGGUCCCACCAGAGCCAUCUUCUCACUUACCUGGUGUGAAAGUCCCACCAAUAAAGUUGACUCUCCUGAGACCGUCAAUAAAGAUGUAUUUGUUGAAUUUGUUUGCUUCUCUGUAUUUCCCUAACUAGAUUAGAAGCUGCUUAAUAGCUGCAUGAAAGGUAUUCAUGAGUGUUUGCCUAAUUAAUUAAUAGAAUGUAUUUGUACCUGAUUAUUUCUAGAAGACCUUGUUAAAGUGUUAUCUGGAGAGUGAGGGACACCUGAAGGUUCACAGUCUUUCUUUCUUUCUCCCACUGCAGCUUUUGAGCUCUUGACUCCUCAGAGCCUGAGAAUCUCAUGGCAGCUGUUCUUUGAAUUCAUUUCUUCCCUGAGCCCCCAGAACUGACAGAUUAACUAUUUCUAAAGAUGGUGUCUGUGCCACUCUAGACUUGCUCCAAGACUGUGUCUAUUUUGUUAACCAUCUGAUGCAGAAAGAAGGAAGAAAUAGAGAGAGAAGGAAAGAAGAAAGAAAGAAAAAGAAAGGAAGAAAUAGAGAAGCAAGAAGAAAGAAAGAAAAAGAAAGAAAUCAAAAGAAAGAAAGAACAAAGAGAAAAGGAAGGAAAGAAGGAAGGAAGGGAGGGAGGGAGAGGGGAGGGGAGGGGAGGGGAGAGAGGAAAAUAAGAGUUAUCUCAGUUUUCUCCUUGGUUAGUGAGAGUUCACAUUGACAUGUGUGUAACUUAUCAUGAUAGCAACAGGCAUUUUAGGCUCAUUUAACUAGAACCCAGGCACUGCUCAUAUGUACAAUAGCUUCAUUCCUUUUUCAUUCUUUUUCUCUCCUUCCUUUACUUACCCCAGCAUCUAUUGAUGUUCUGGAAAUGCCUUUAUUUUUAAGAGAGAAACGAUGAGUUUUGGUAUUGGGAGACAGUGCUCCACAAAUAUUUUCAUGUUUCCUCAUGGUCAGAGCUUUAUGAACAAACAACACUGAACAAAGAACAUUUGACUGAAUAUCAAAUGUUUUAGUCCAUUUGGGAUGCUAUAAGAAAGUACCAUAGACUGGGUAGCUUACAAACAAUAGAAAUUUAUUUCUCACAGUUCUGUGUGCUGAGUCCAAGAUCAAGGCGCCAGCAUAUUCAGUGUCUGGUUAGGGCAUCUGCUUUCUGGUUCAUAGAUGGUGCCUUCUCACUGUGUCCUCACAUGGUGGCAGGGUAAAAAAGCUCCUUCAGGUCCUUUUAUAAAGACUCUAAUCCCAUUCAUGAGGCCUCCACCUUCAUCCUCUAAUCACCUCCCAAAGGCCCCACUUUCUAAUACUGUCACUUUAGGAUUAGGAUUUCAGCGCAUGAAUUUUGAGGAUACACACAUAUUUGGACCAUAGUAUGAAACCUAAAGAUAGAGACCUCAGGAUUUUUCUGUCCCUGAAACCGUUUGUUUACAGUCUAGGGUGGCAAAAUAAAAACCCUCCCCUCUUCUCCACAAAAAUAUUUUUUUUUCCAUUCAAGAGUAAAGUAUUUAUUUCUUCCUCUUUCCAGAAGAAAACAUGGAUGGAUGUCCCAUAAACUUCCAAACUUUAUAACUUCAGGGUUCCUCUUCUCCUGUAGAGCCAACGCCACUGCACAUGCAGUGACAUCAAGCCCUCAUUGUGUUGCUUUGUGAGAACGUGGCAUGCAAAACUUGGUCAGAUAUAAAGUUAUAUAUAUAUUACACACCUCACACAUGUGUGCAUGCACACACACACAUAAAUAUAUAUACAUAAGCAUAUAUACAUAUUGUGGAGGGCUAACUUUGUAGCUUGCAAAUACAGUAAUAUCUCAGAUCUUUCACAGUUUGGACUUAGCAUUUUCAGUGUACUUGCUUGGAGGAAAGAGGAAUAGGUAGCGUGAACUAGUGUGGUUAUGUUUUCUAUUCAGAUACUUUGAGGUCAGAGGUCACACACCAAACUAAACUGCCCAAAGGAAGCAUUGUGAGACAUUGGGCACAUGUAGGGCAGUGUCUUCCAGGCUCAGGUUCAGGCAAUACAUUUAUCAUUGAGCAGCAAAGGAUGAUAUUCUCCUUAUUUCUGCACAAAAGCCAGACCAUUCUGGUUUCUCAAAACAGAACAAUUAUGGCACAUUUGAAUAUAGCAUGUUUGAAAAAGCUGUUUUUUUCCAGCCUUUUACAGAAAGACCAGGGUUGUAUAAAGACUAGGGGUCCUGCCUGCUGCUUGCAAAUUUCUGGCAGCCCUGACUUCCCUGGCUUCUGACCUGCCACUUGUCCAUGAAUUUUCUCUCACUCCUGAGUCCCUCUCGGUGAUUACUGCCUUUGGAUUUUGGUUCCCUUUGACUUUACUUCUCCUGGGGCUAUGGAUUCUUUAGUGUUCUCUCCUUGGCUUUAAGUACUGCAUUCUACCACUACCUCCAUUCCAAUGCUACACCCUACUUCCACCCCAUGCAGAGUGCAGUGCCCUGGGCCUUGGCCUGUCUAGUAGGAGGCACUAGACAGAAAUUACUAAGUGAGAUUGUGUGUCUGGCUAGCAGUGCCUUGCUAGGUGACCAAGGCCAAGUCACUUACCUAUCUGAGGUUCAAUUGUCUCAUUUAUUUAAUCCAGCCUCAGGAACUGGAUUAAACCAUCAAUAAAGAGGCCAUUGUUAUGCCUCAGACAAAUGAUGAUGGGUUUGCCAAAACAAAUGCAGCUACGGUCACUUCAAUACACAACAAACCAAGCUGCAUCAUGAGCUAUUAGACUCUCACUUACACUGGGAAAGAGGGAGAUUCCAGGAGAGUGAAGAAGAAAAAUAAUAGCAGAGAGAAGAGUUAAGUGCACCAAGAAAGAACAUCAAUGUUUCAAACCACAUCUUGAGCUGUCCAUUUUUUCUCAAUAGUUUCCCUUAGGCCAAUCACCAACUUGCCUUGGGAAGUGAAUUGGCUCCAUGGCAACAAGAAAAAUGAUACCUGAGGAAAAUUUUGCAAAGCUAAACCCAAGAGAAACAAUGCCAAGCAAACAUUAAAUAUUUUCAAAAGCAUUUUAUUCUGCCCAUGGUAAUUUCCUGAGUAUAUAUUGCAAGAUCAAUGCCCUCUAUGACUCCUCUGAAUACCCUCC
rnacentral:lncRNA from 10 species